rnacentral:rRNA from 1 species
UACGUAGGGGGCAAGCGUUGUCCGGAAUUAUUGGGCGUAAAGAGCGCGUAGGCGGUCCGAUAAGUCGGCUGUGAAAGUCAUGGGCUCAACCCAUGAAAGCCGGCCGAUACUGUCGGACUAGAGUCCGGAAGAGGCAAGUGGAAUUCCCGGUGUAGCGGUGAAAUGCGCAGAUAUCGGGAGGAACACCGGUGGCGAAGGCGGCUCACUGGACCGGAACUGACGCUGAGGCGCGAAAGCGUGGGGAGCAAACAGG